UACUAGAUACAGAUGUUCUGCUGGGGUUUUUUCUAUACUAGUAGGUUAGAUAUUCGUUUCUUAUUUACGUUACUAGAUACAGAUGUUCUGCUGGGGUUUUUUCUAUACUAGUAGGUUAGAUAUUCGUUUCUUAUUUACGUUACUAGAUACAGGUGUUCUGCUGUUUGGUUUUUUUCUAUACUAGUAGGUUAGAUAUUCGUUUCUUGUUUACGUUACUAGAUACAGAUGUUCUGCUGGGGUUUUUUCUAUACUAGUAGGUUAGAUAUUCGUUACUAGAUACAGAUGUUCUGCUGGGUUUUUUUUUCUAUACUAGUAGGUUAGAUAUUCGUUACUAGAUACAGCUGUUCUGCUGGGGUUUUUUCUAUACUAGUAGGUUAGAUAUUCGUUACUAGAUACAGAUGUUCUGCUGGGUUUUUUUCUAUACUAGUAGGUUAGAUAUUCGUUACUAGAUACAGAUGUUCUGCUGGGGUUUUUUUUCUAUACUAGUAGGUUAGAUAUUCGUUACUAGAUACAGAUGUUCUGCUGGGGUUUUUUCUAUACUAGUAGGUUAGAUAUUCGUUACUAGAUACAGAUGUUCUGCUGGGUUUUUUCUAUACUAGUAGGUUAGAUAUUCGUUACUAGAUACAGAUGUUCUGCUGGGUUUUUUUCUAUACUAGUAGGUUAGAUAUUCGUUUCUUAUUUACGUUACUAGAUACAGAUGUUCUGCUGAGUUUUUUUCUAUACUAGUAGGUUAGAUAUUCGUUACUAGAUACAGAUGUUCUGCUGGGUUUUUUUUCUAUACUAGUAGGUUAGAUAUUCGUUACUAGAUACAGAUGUUCUGCUGUGUUUUUUUCUAUACUAGUAGGUUAGAUAUUCGUUUCUUUUUUACGUUACUAGAUACAGAUGUUCUGCUGAGUUUUUUUCUAUACUAGUAGGUUAGAUAUUCGUUACUAGAUACAGAUGUUCUGCUGGGUUUAUUUUUCUAUACUAGUAGGUUAGAUAUUCGUUACUAGAUACAGAUGUUCUGCUGGGUUUUUUUUUCUAUACUAGUAGGUUAGAUAUUCGUUACUAGAUACAGAUGUUCUGCUGGGUUUUUUUCUAUACUAGUAGGUUAGAUAUUCGUUACUAGAUACAGAUGUUCUGCUGGGUUUUUUUUUCUAUACUAGUAGGUUAGAUAUUCGUUACUAGAUACAGAUGUUCUGCUGGGUUUUUUUUUCUAUACUAGUAGGUUAGAUAUUCGUUACUAGAUACAGAUGUUCUGCUGGGUUUUUUUCUAUACUAGUAGGUUAGAUAUUCGUUACUAGAUACAUAUGUUCUGCUGGUUUUUUUUCUAUACUAGUAGGUUAGAUAUUCGUUACUAGAUACAGAUGUUCUGUUGGGUUUUUUUCUAUACUAGUAGGUUAGAUAUUCGUUACUAGAUACAAAUGUUCUGUUGGGUUUUUUUCUAUACUAGUAGGUUAGAUAUUCGUUUCUUAUUUACGUUACUAGAUACAGAUGUUCUGCUGGGGUUUUUUCUAUACUAGUAGGUUAGAUAUUCGUUACUAGAUACAGAUGUUCUGCUGGGUUUUUUUUUCUAUACUAGUAGGUUAGAUAUUCGUUUCUUAUUUACGUUACUAGAUACAGAUGUUCUGCUGGGUUUUUUUUCUAUACUAGUAGGUUAGAUAUUCGUUACUAGAUACAGAUGUUCUGCUGGGUUUUUUUCUAUACUAGUAGGUUAGAUAUUCGUUACUAGAUACAGAUGUUCUGCUGGGUUUUUUUCUAUACUAGUAGGUUAGAUAUUCGUUACUAGAUACAGAUGUUCUGCUGGGUUUUUUUCUAUACUAGUAGGUUAGAUAUUCGUUACUAGAUACAGAUGUUCUGCUGGGUUUUUUUUUCUAUACUAGUAGGUUAGAUAUUCGUUACUAGAUACAGAUGUUCUGCUGGGUUUUUUUCUAUACUAGUAGGUUAGAUAUUCGUUACUAGAUACAGAUGUUCUGCUGGGUUUUUUCUAUACUAGUAGGUUAGAUAUUCGUUACUAGAUACAGAUGUUCUGCUGGGUUUUUUUCUAUACUAGUAGGUUAGAUAUUCGUUUCUUAUUUACGUUACUAGAUACAGAUGUUCUGCUGAGUUUUUUUCUAUACUAGUAGGUUAGAUAUUCGUUACUAGAUACAGAUGUUCUGCUGGUUUUUUUUUUCUAUACUAGUAGGUUAGAUAUUCGUUACUAGAUACAGAUGUUCUGCUGUGUUUUUUUCUAUACUAGUAGGUUAGAUAUUCGUUUCUUAUUUACGUUACUAGAUACAGAUGUUCUGCUGAGUUUUUUUCUAUACUAGUAGGUUAGAUAUUCGUUACUAGAUACAGAUGUUCUGCUGGGUUUAUUUUUCUAUACUAGUAGGUUAGAUAUUCGUUACUAGAUACAGAUGUUCUGCUGGGUUUUUUUUUCUAUACUAGUAGGUUAGAUAUUCGUUACUAGAUACAGAUGUUCUGCUGUGUUUUUUUCUAUACUAGUAGGUUAGAUAUUCGUUACUAGAUACAGAUGUUCUGCUGGGUUUUUUUUUCUAUACUAGUAGGUUAGAUAUUCGUUACUAGAUACAGAUGUUCUGCUGGGUUUUUUUCUAUACUAGUAGGUUAGAUAUUCGUUACUAGAUACAGAUGUUCUGCUGGGUUUUUUUUUCUAUACUAGUAGGUUAGAUAUUCGUUACUAGAUACAGAUGUUCUGCUGUGUUUUACAGCGUGUUGAUUUCUUUGUAUGUAUCACAAAUAAUUUUUAUUACAGAUCUGUUACUGAUUAAAACAAAACUUACAGAUCAUUUAUUUCAAGGGGAAAUUAACAGAUAGGAGCUACAAAUGUUUAUCACAGAGAAAACAGUUGGGAAUGUUCAUUUGAAGUCCGCUUAGCACACGUGGAUGGUCACGUGGUUUAGUGAAAGAUAUAUAUCAUGUUCUGAUGCAUGUAUUAUCAUUUUCGAUGUCACAAGAGGUUGUGUGCAGUGCACAUAGAUGUAUCACUUGAUUGAUUGAUUGUUUGUUUGUUAUACGUCCGGUCGAGAGUUUUUCAUUCACAUUGAGACGUCACCAGCGUGAAGUACCACAAAUUUAGACCUAUGCCUGGCGCUCAGGGCCGUAACAGUGAGGGUUCUUUAAGUAACGUACUAACACCUCCCGCGGCACGAGACCUCCGUUUUUAAGGUCAUAUCCGAAAGACCCGUGAUUCUCACUUCCAAAUGCCGAGCGUUUGGUGAAAGAGCGAUCACUACCUAUUUCAGCGGUAUAGGUUUGUCGCGGUCCUGGUACGAGCGGGGCCCGAACUCACGACCUCCCGGUUACGAAGCGAACGCUUUACCACUGAGGUACCGCGACUGGUGUAUCACUUGAAACCAUGUGUAGUGUACAAUGUACAGCGUGUAUAUAUCAUUACAAUGUACAGCGUGUAUAUAUCAUUACAAUGUACAGCGUGUAUAUAUCAUUAAAUGUUUGUGUAAAUUGUACACAUUUAUGACAUUCGGUGACAAAAAGGACUUCUUCCCUAGAGUUGUUACUUUCCAGUUGUAAGUUUGUCAGCAUUUGUUUGUAUAUUCAAAUCAGUGGAGAUGAACUGGAAUGCAUGCUCUGUCGUACUGCCACAAUCCUCCAGAUCUAUGUGUUAAGCGGUAUUCUGUCGUUCCACAAUCAUCCAGAUAUAUAUGUUUUGAGCGGCAUUGAAUUUACAUUACUCUGUUUUA